rnacentral:rRNA from 1 species
UACGUAGGGAGCAAGCGUUGUCCGGAAUCAUUGGGCGUAAAGCGCACGUAGGCGGACUCUUAAGUCGGUGGUGAAAUCCUGGAGCUCAACUCCAGAACUGCCUUCGAUACUGAGAGUCUCGAGUCCGAGAGAGGUGAGUGGAACUGCGAGUGUAGAGGUGAAAUUCGUAGAUAUUCGCAAGAACACCAGUGGCGAAGGCGGCUCACUGGCUCGGUACUGACGCUGAGGUGCGAAAGCGUGGGGAGCAAACAGG